rnacentral:rRNA from 1 species
AACAGGAUUAGAUACCCUGGUAGUCCAUGCCGUAAACGUUGGGCACUAGGUGUGGGGCUCAUUCCACGAGUUCCGUGCCGCAGCUAACGCAUUAAGUGCCCCGCCUGGGGAGUACGGCCGCAAGGCUAAAACUCAAAGGAAUUGACGGGGGCCCGCACAAGCGGCGGAGCAUGCGGAUUAAUUCGAUGCAACGCGAAGAACCUUACCAAGGCUUGACAUGCACCGGAAACACUCAGAGAUGGGUGCCCCGCAAGGUCGGUGCACAGGUGGUGCAUGGUUGUCGUCAGCUCGUGUCGUGAGAUGUUGGGUUAAGUCCCGCAACGAGCGCAACCCUCGUCCCAUGUUGCCAGCGGGUUAUGCCGGGGACUCAUGGGAGACUGCCGGGGUCAACUCGGAGGAAGGUGGGGAUGACGUCAAAUCAUCAUGCCCCUUAUGUCUUGGGCUUCACGCAUGCUACAAUGGCCGGUACAGAGGGCUGCGAUACCGUAAGGUGGGGCGAAUCCCAAAAAGCCGGUCUCAGUUCGGAUUGGGGUCUGCAACUCGACCCCAUGAAGUCGGAGUCGCUAGUAAUCGCAGAUCAGCAACGCUGCGGUGAAUACGUUCCCGGGCCUUGUACACACCGCCCGUCAAGUCACGAAAGUUGGUAACACCCGAAGCUCACGGCCCAACCCCUUGUGGGAGGGAGUGGUCGAAGGUGGGACUGGCGAUUGGGACUAAGUCGUAACAAGGUAACC